rnacentral:rRNA from 1 species
AGCGAACGCUGGCGGCAGGCCUAACACAUGCAAGUCGAACGAACUCUUCGGAGUUAGUGGCGGACGGGUGAGUAACACGUGGGAACGUGCCUUUUGGUUCGGAAUAACUCAGGGAAACUUGUGCUAAUACCGAAUGUGCCCUUCGGGGGAAAGAUUUAUCGCCAUUAGAGCGGCCCGCGUCUGAUUAGCUAGUUGGUGAGGUAACGGCUCACCAAGGCGACGAUCAGUAGCUGGUCUGAGAGGAUGACCAGCCACACUGGGACUGAGACACGGCCCAGACUCCUACGGGAGGCAGCAGUGGGGAAUCUUGCGCAAUGGGCGAAAGCCUGACGCAGCCAUGCCGCGUGAAUGAUGAAGGUCUUAGGAUUGUAAAAUUCUUUCACCGGGGACGGUAAUGACGGUACCCGGAGAAGAAGCCCCGGCUAACUUCGUG